UCCGCAGCGAAAUCAUCCCAGCUGGGGUGCACAGUGGGUAAUGUGUCUAACCCAGCGUUGUCCACGGCCUAUGCGCACAAUAGCGCACGGACAGAGCCAGACACCUCACACCAACAUGUCGCGACAAGUGUCUGUGAAAGCACAAUUGUGCUACUGUAUCCAACUUCGUAGGCAAUCAAAGCAGAAUUUUGCGAUCAGUUGUCGCUAGAAUAACCAACACAAACAUAACGUGCACACAGUCACGUUGGACAACACUGGUCUAACCACAUACGAGCGACUUUUUUCAAUUGCCCAUAAACCGCUACUAAAACACAUUUUUCGUCUAGUUGGUAAGCUCUCAUAACGCUGCUAACAAGAUCAAUAAACUGCUGAACUGUGAGCGACUGCGUAUUGGUUGGAUCGAACUCCGGUAUCAUGUCCGAUAUUUCCUAAUCGACCGAAAACCACAGUUAGAAUUGACGGCGUCGAAACUUGACAAACAUUUUCGUUUGCGUUUUGAUUAUUAACAUUCGGUUGCCCUACAUUCGCGUCAAUUGUUCGUUGAUUAUUCUGCUGCAGCAUACCGACAAUAGUUUCCAUCAUACCAUGUAAAUUAUCGUUUUGCUCUUGCUGCUCCAAAUCUAUAACUGUGGGAGCUUCAAUUUCAUCACCACCGAUUUUUUGCAUUAAGCCGUAAUUCUAGCUCUGCUCUAGAACCAGACGUAGAUAAGCCUUUUUCGCGCAGUAUCACUUUUAAUUGAUCGAUUUUUAGUUCGUUUAAUUUAGGCAUCGUGGAUUGUUUUAUUAUUAUUAUUUUUUUUACACGUACACACAAAAAGGUAAAGUGUGAAUUCUACAUUACAAAUGGCGUUACCAUAAGUUAGAAAAAAAUUUACUACAAUACCAAUCCACCACUUGCAAUUUGAUGUAUGCCAUAAAUGCGAAUUGCUUUUCUUGCAAAGUAUCACAAUUAUAUAUGUAUAUAAAAAUUUAUAUCCUUCUUUUGUCGACUAAUUUGGUUUUAACUUGAAAAAUUAUUGAAAAAUUAUUGAAAAAUUGCUGAUUACGUCUAUACCCAUCUCAUACCAAUGCGAAAAUUCCCUAGAGUAAACUUAUGGUUUAUUAAUUACCCAAUCUGGCAAUAAAUUCUCGCGAUGUUCAAAAUCGCUCUUAACCGCUCUCUGUCUCCCAUCUCAUGUAUGAACGGCAGUAUACACUAAUUCGCACAUGGAUAGAGACAAUGUUUGAAUGAUGGAUGGUUAUGUUUUACAGACACGAUUUACCGACGGUUUUUUAAUUUGUUUGUAUUUGUUUAGAGACAGAAGCGCCUACUUAAAUAUAUUUCAAAAUUAAUGGUAAGGCAGGAAGUUAUUCUUUGUAUGUGCUCGUCAAUUUUUCUAUACGAAAAAUUGUUCAUUUUUCGAAAGGUUUAAGACAAAAAAGCGUUUAAUCACAAUGGUAAAAUGUUGAGGCCUAUAACUCAGCCACGGACAAUUGCAUUUCAUUUUAAACGAGAAAAAAUAUGUUGAAAAAUGGAAAAAUCCAAUUAUUCCGACAUCAGUUUUUGUUCCUAUUCAAGUGCUCGCAAGUGUACGUACAUCUGUGUGUGUAUAACAAGCGAAAUUAACAGUUAUUCGUGGACGCAAAGAAAGGGUUGCCAUCAAAUAAUGCAAGAUAUACCUUAACUAUGAAAUAUUUUCAUUGACUUAUGGUAUAUUUACAUUCCCAUACAUGGGAGGAAAUGUACAUACAUGCAUACUUAUGUUACUUGUGCAUUUAUGAGUAGAUGUUUGUUUAGUUUUAUAAUAAAAGAUUUAGCAUAAAAGAUAAAGAAUAUGUUCAGCAACCAUGGAUUAAUAGUACCUAUGCUUUUAUGUGCAUCUGUAUGUAUUAAAAAAUUGUUGAAUAAUAUAUAAAUGUUCAUCUGUAAAAAGGUGCAAAAUUUAAUUCCACACGAUAGUAUAGUUUAAGAAGAAUUUAUUUUUCAAUUUAAAUAUUAACAAAGACACACCAAUAAUAAUUGGAAGUGAUGUGGUUUUCUUAAUCUGCGGGUAUGCGCAAUAUAUGCAUUUAUCUAAAUACAAUUAAAAUCCCGCAUAAAUUAUUUGCUUUUUGAAACUACUACACAUGAAAAAAUGCAUGGCAAUCAUGGUACCAUCUCAUUUCGCUCAUCAUGGCUUGCUUUGUUUUCAUCUGAAAUCAGUCGGGAAAUUUCGUGCUUCAACAUACAAAGUAACUAAAAUUGUUAAAUAAAUAAGGAAUUGAUUAAUAAAAACGCAAAUGUUGGUAAAAGUGAAAAGUGGGAAUGUGAUAAAACUCAUUGAUAUAAACACAGAUACCAGAGCGAAAGAUGUGCUUGAUUUCAGUAAGUUUUUUCUUGUUUGUGGGUUAGUUAAAGUUUGUGAACCUUUAUUGCAUUAUCAUUUCAACAGUUUGUUCAAAAUUCGGCAUUGUGUACAAUAUCACAAGAAAAUUUCUGGACCGGGAUAAAGUUCCAAUAGAGAAAGACCAAAUAGUAUCUACAAUUAGCAGUUUGGAAGUUGCUCCUGUUUUUUGCUAGAAAUUUUACACAAAGAAAAUAAUUUCAAUGACAAGGCAAGCUCUAGUUUUGAAGCUAUCGGAAAUAAAGCAUUAUUGGACUUUCUUAAGGAAGGUGAUGGUGCUCAUAUACUGGAGGAAUACAAGCAAACAAAAACAUUAAGUAAUGCCUCACGCCGAAUAUUGGUGUGUGAAGCUGUAAACUUUCUGCGCAAAGUUUGUGGUAAUUAUCCAUCUCGGCAACAAAAAAUAGCUCUUGCAAAAGCCAUUAUCGCCAAUUUUCCAGUUUACAAAUGCAGCGCAAGCGAGAUAGGAGGAAUUGAUCUCUUUUACAACCCCGCAGAAAAUUCAGGAUACCUGGUUUCAAAGCUAAAAAAUUUGAAUAGAAAAAGGCGCACGAAUCUCAGCCAGAGUUCAAGUGAAUCAACUACAGAUAGACGUAAGAGCACAGCAGAGGAAUUUGAUGUAGGUUUCUUCAGAAAUUGUGUCGUUGGAGGGAACUCUGAAGAUAUAAAGCAAAAAUUGAAAACAACGCUGAAUGAGAGAAUUCGAUAUUGUACCCUACAUCUUGAUGUUUUGAAAGCUUUUCCGAUUUGUCGAUACGAUCCAUCCCUGUUUUCAGAUUUCAUUCGAUUUUGAACUGCGCUACAAUCGUUUAAUAGCCAACAGCCUAAUUACUUCUUGGCGAAGUUAUUUAAAAUUCACAGGUGACGUUUUGAAAGAUACUAUUGGAAGCUGUUUAAUACCAGAGUGGUUUAUUGAAAUCAAACCGUUUUUACAUCUGCUACGACUACUACCUUCAUUUACACUACGCUCAAAGGAAAAUAAACAACAACGAGUAAAUUUCGAAUCAACCAUCAGUAAAUUUAUAAAUUUUCAGAAUAUAAAUACACCCAUAGACGACUUCAAAUUAAACAGCAAGCAGCCCACAAUCGUAGCAUCUGGAAAAAGUAAGGAGGAAAUUGUUCAGUAUUUUAUUUUAAUUGACGGUAAAGCUUUACAUGUGCCUAUAACAUAUACU